rnacentral:tRNA from 1 species
GGAUUGUGGCUCAGUGGUAGAGUGCUUGCCUAGCACAUGCAAGGCCCCGGAUUCGAUCCUCAGCACCA